rnacentral:pre_miRNA from 1 species
AUCACCUGGGGAUCUAAUUAAAGAGCAGAUUCCAAUUCAGCAGGUUUAGGGUGGGGCCCAAGAUUCUGCACUUCUAAUGAGUUCCCAGGUGAUGCAGA